UCAGAACGAACGCUGGCGGCGCGUCUUAAGCAUGCAAGUCGAGCGGGAUUGAGUAGCUUGCUACUCAUGAGAGCGGCGGACUGGCGAGUAACGCGUGGGUGACGUACCCUGAGGAUGGGGAUAGCUCCUAGAAAUAGGAGGUAAUACCGAAUACGGUGUGCAGGGUUAGAGACUGUACAUCAAAGGUUCUUUUGAACCGCCACAGGAGCGGCCCGCGUACUAUUAGCUGGUUGGUGAGGUAACGGCUCACCAAGGCGACGAUAGUUACCCGGCCUGAGAGGGUGAACGGGCACAUUGGGACUGAGAUACGGCCCAGACUCCUACGGGAGGCAGCAGCUAAGAAUAUUCCGCAAUGGAGGAAACUCUGACGGAGCGACGCCGCGUGGACGAAUGAAGGCCGGAAGGUUGUAAAGUCCUUUUAGAUAUGAGGAAUAAGUAAGGUGAGAGAAACGCCUUAUGGUGACUGUAGUAUCAGAAUAAGGGGCGGCUAAUUACGUGCCAGCAGCGGC
rnacentral:rRNA from 1 species